rnacentral:misc_RNA from 1 species
AAACAAUAAGGAAUGAAGUUGGAUUAAUAUUUAAAUGGCCGUUACUUCGUCCAAAUUAAACACUCUGGACAAAGCUCGGAAGUGGAUUCAAAAAGGACUCAUCAUCUGCCAGGCCAGAGAGCCCUCUCAGCGCUUGGUAGUGUUGUCAGUGGGUGGUGGUGGGUGGCGCGCUUAUCAGCCUACGUAGAGGCUCCCCAUGCCCGCUGCGAUAAGAAAUAGGCGGAACCGCCCGUCCAGGUGCUUGCUAUUAUCAUGGGGUGCAUUACCAGUACAAGUAAGCUGAACGAACUGCGCGGCCACGAAAACGUUUUUCGAGUGCGGGUGGCCCAUCUGCAGCCCUCCCCUGGUACGCCCACCAUUCGCAGCGGGUACCUGGAGCUGACGCCGCGGGAACUGAUCUUCCAAUCGCCCGGCUGCGAACCAAUUAUAUGGGCUUUGCAGCAUCUCAGACGCUAUGGUCUUAACGCCGACCUCUUUUCAUUUGAAGCGGGUCGCAGAUGCAUGUCUGGGCCCGGAAUAUACACCUUCAGGGUUCAAAAUGCCGAGCUGCUUUAUCCUAUGUUCCAACGCUACAUCAAUGCCGUGAAUACAGAUGCUUUUGCUCAGGUGGAAAGGGAUCGCGUAAACUCCACUCACUCGGUGUCCACGAUGAUGGGCCGUGCGGAUGGAAACCCACACAGUAACAACUACUUGGAGCCGGCUCCACUGAUUAGUCGACAGCUUGGAAGUUCCAUGAGCGAUGCUCCGCAUCCCAGUGCUUUGCAUUUGCUGCAGGCCAAUGAUAGCCAAUCAGAUGACACUCCACCUAAUCUACAGUCUCCUGGUCUGAUUCCUAACGCCUAUUUCGAUCAGCCUUUGAGAACACUACAGGAGUGUUGCCUUGAUGGGACCUCUCCGGAUCUGCAGGCCACCCCACCUUCUGGGAACAGAUUGAGCUCACGUCGGCGUACUCUGGAUUUGCCGCCCCAGGAAUCGGCACCUCCGCCGGCACCAGUUUUAAGUCCCAAUGAAUCCGUGCACAUGUACGCCAAUGUUGAGGCCAUGAUCUUCGAUUUAAGCAACGAGCGUUGUUAUGAGAACGUAAAUCGACUGGAACUGCCGAUCUCUGUACCGUCGAGGGAGUCAAUCGCACCACAAGAGCCAGCUACACCGACCAGUUUGGCGGGUAGCAGUGGCGUAAACUACAUUGUCUUGGAUCUGGAUCAGCCCAAAAGUCCUGCACCUCCGUCUGGAUCGCCAAAAACCUUUAACGGCUUUGGCAGUGGAUUGUCUUUGGUUUCAACGAAAGCAGCUGUUACUGCUCCUGUUACUCCGGAGGCUAGUUUGGCGCUCGACGUACCCCCGGCUCCGAAUCAAACCCAGAGUCUAAACAGCGUAUCAGCUGCGGCCGCCAAUGAUGCUGGGGAGCCGACGUCGAACCGAAACUCUGAAUGCUCAGGAACCCAAGGAUACUCCACUAUUGAUUUCAUUCGCACAUACGCAUUGAACAAAUCCUCGACAGAGCUGCCGGAACAGGUAACCCACCGACAGCAUCCUGCACACGAGGCUGAGGAGCUGAGGAUCACCAGACACAGCAAGUGCAUUCGAAAAGCGUACUCCAUUAGCGAGUGAGUUGAGAUGAUGGCACAAUUCAAAGCAAAGGGCACAACGAAUUUAUAAAAACAAGGUCACCCAAAACAAUUCCAGAAUUUGAGGGAACUAGAUUGCCAAUUAUUUAAGAAUCUGUUAUAAGCAGAAAAUUGGAACUUCUUCUAUGAGAAAACAAAGAAAUAACGAAAAGGUUUUCGAAAAUGUGCAGCACAACGAAUUAACCACAAUCGAUGAUAUUGAGGAUGGAAUUAUUUAGAUUGUGGUUCUGUGGAAUUGAAGUGAUUUGCCAAAGAGUUGUUUUGCUUCCCUCUGAGCCAAACAAACAACAAACAAUAUUAAAUCCAGGUUGUUUUAGUAGUCAGUACUACCCUCACACGCAGACAUGACUUGCAUACGUACUUAGUUUAGUUGUUUAAGGAUAGGUAAUAGCGUUCAUUAGAGAUUAGAUGAGAUGAUUUGUGUACGUGCCAGCGGCUGUUAAAACUAGUCAUUUUUUGGAUUUUUGUGCAAAUUUAUCAUAGUGAGCAACACGAAAGGCUUUUAAAAUUUAAAUUGUAAAUGGUAUCCUAAGUAUCGUUAGAUUCUAAGUACCAAUAUAUACAUUUGCGUACACUUAAACAUAAUUGUGUACGAUCGUUGUUGGCCAAGGCUUUAUAAUUGUAUUUUGUUGCAACAAAAAGAAAAGAAAACAAAACGAUGGCAGCAAGCAUUGCAUUGCGUUGCAUUGUCCGCUGUGAGUUUCUAAUUUUUUACAUAAAUAUAUAUACUGCUAAAUUGUUAACCCCAGUUGUUAGGAAUAUUAUAUACACUGAUUGUCAAGCGGAGCAUUCAUCCUUGGAGGAGGUUUGAAUAAUUCGACCGAGGAUUUUUGCAGUUGCAUAUAGAUUUACAUACAUACUUACGCUGGCGGCUCAGUCCGUGGCAUAAACUAUAUUAUUGUUAGUGUCUAAGACGAAAUAUGUGCAAUAAAACUCAAAUGAUCUUGUAACUGUAUCUUUUAAAUACUGGACAACGAAAAACAUCUCUAUUUUUGAUUGUUUGAAAGC